GCCAGAGUGUCGGAACUGGUAGACGAGACGGACUCAAAAUCCGUUGUCCGCGAGGGCGUGUGGGAUCGAGUCCCACCUCUGGUACCA
rnacentral:tRNA from 1 species